GUUUACAUGCAUCCAGAACAUGGCUUGGAGGAAUGCAGGCUACUGUGCUGAUAACAAUGUCUUCAAUACAACUUUAAUGUAGACAUUAAAGUCAUUUUAUGUUAAUUACAUGCAAAUUGAUUAUUAAUGUAUAUAUUGAAUGUUGACAGCUGGGUGACAGUCUUCAGUAAAUAUGUUUUACUAAUCAGUUAGCAUUUAAUUAAUAUCGAAAUUCUCUCUAGGUUUAGUAAGACAGUUAGUGAACAUUAAUUAGGCCCCUGACUGGCUGCAUAUGUUGCAGGACGUCCAUGGUGCUGGCAGGGCACCACCGUGCUCGGCUGCUCCGCAGGGUGCAGGCAGGUAGGUGGGCCUGGAGGGGGCUGGGGGCAGCAGUCUGGCCACAGGUCAGACAGACACGUGCCCCUGAACAGGGAAGUUUCCAGAAGAUGUUUCUUUAGGAGAGCUCCCCGCACACCCCAUGCACAAAGCAGCCGAGGGCAGGCACGCUGCAGGGAGCAGAGGUGGUACUGCCAUGGCAGGGGUUGUGGUCACAUGCAUCAAAGUCGUGGUGAUGACAACCGAGGUGAUGCCUGCUCAGUGCAACACCAGUCCUGCAGGGCUGGCCAGGCUAGCCAUGGGAGCUUCGGAUGCUCCUCCUCGCCCAUUGUUUUGCACUUUCUGUCCUGGGUUUCAAGACCAGUGAGCUGUGUCUGCGCUCGACAGCAGAAGCCUUGGGUUGCUUUCAGCGCUGGAUGCUCAAGAGCAGAGGAUCUAUCAACUGCAGACCAAGCAGAGGGAGAGGCAGGCAGAACUGGAGCAGAAAUGCAGCCGGAUCCAGCAGCUCAGCCAGGACCUAGAGGCCAGCCACCAGCUGCAAGAGGAAGCUCAGAAGCAGUGCAGUACUUCCCACUGGAAUACUUCCCAGUGGAGCCUGGAAAAGAACAGCACAGUGAACCAGCCCAAAGGUGAGAGAAGGGGAAGAGAGCUUGUGGGAUUUUGUCCUGAAGAGAAGGAGCCUGUGGAAGAUCACUGCCAUCCCCAGAUCCAGGAGGCUGCAGCAUGGGUAUAGCUGCAGCAUGCUGCAGAGAUGGAGUGAACAACACAUUAAAUAGAUCUAAAUCCAAACAGUAGAAGAGGGAAAGAAAGGGAAAAGGUGAGUGAAAAUUAUUUCAUGUCACUUCCUACAUGCUUUUGAAACUGCACAGUCCCUUCAACCUGACUCAGUAUAUACUGCCAGAGAGGAAAAGGAAGAAUAAAGUGCAUCUGACCAUCA
rnacentral:lncRNA from 1 species